CCUUCACAUUGGCAGAGCUUGGAUUUGAGGCUGCUGACAGCCGCUGCACUCACAAGUGUAGGUGGUGUCCUAGAGAGGGCAGAUCUUCCACUGACCCCGUAAGGGUCUCUGGCCCAAUAAGUAGUUUGACAGUAAUUCUUGCUACAAGU
ensembl:snoRNA SNORA62 Small nucleolar RNA SNORA62/SNORA6 family